UGAGGAAUAUUGGACAAUGGGUGAAAGCCUGAUCCAGCCAUCCCGCGUGAAGGACGACGGCCCUACGGGUUGUAAACUUCUUUUAUAUGGGGAUAAACCCAGGUACGUGUACCUGGCUGAAGGUACCAUAUGAAUAAGCACCGGCUAACUCCGUGCCAGCAGCCGCGGUAAUACGGAGGGUGCGAGCGUUAUCCGGAUUUAUUGGGUUUAAAGGGUCCGUAGGCGGGCCUGUAAGUCAGUGGUGAAAUCUCAUAGCUCAACUAUGAAACUGCCAUUGAUACUGCAGGCCUUGAGUGAAUUAGAGGUAGCUGGAAUAAGUAGUGUAGCGGUGAAAUGCAUAGAUAUUACUUAGAACACCAAUUGCGAAGGCAGGUUACCAUGAUUCAACUGACGCUGAGGGACGAAAGCGUGGGGAGCGAACA
rnacentral:rRNA from 1 species